rnacentral:rRNA from 1 species
AGUGAACGCUGGCGGUAGGCCUAACACAUGCAAGUCGAACGGCAGCACAGAGGAGCUUGCUCCUUGGGUGGCGAGUGGCGGACGGGUGAGGAAUACAUCGGAAUCUACUCUGUCGGGGGGAAUAACGUAGGGAAACUUACGCUAAUACCGCAUACGACCUACGGGUGAAAGCAGGGGAUCUUCGGGCCUUGCGCGAUUGAAUGAGCAGAUGUCGGAUUAGCUAGUUGGCGGGGGAAAGGCCCACCAAGGCGACGAUCCGUAGCUGGUCUGAGAGGAUGAUCAGCCACACUGGAACUGAGACACGGUCCAGACUCCUACGGGAGGCAGCAGUGGGGAAUCUUGGACAAUGGGCGCAAGCCUGAUCCAGCCAUACCGCGUGGGUGAAGAAGGCCUUCGGGUUGUAAAGCCCUUUUGUUGGGAAAGAAAUCCAGCUGGCUAAUACCCGGUUGGGAUGACGGUACCCAAAGAAUAAGCACCGGCUAACUUCGUGCCAGCCGCCGCAGUAA